rfam:Oryza sativa Japonica Group DNA, chromosome 1, cultivar: Nipponbare, complete sequence.
AAUAAGUGCAGUCUUGAGUUUCCGCGCUCAACUUUAAUAAUCCGUCUUAUUUGAAUUUUUUUUAUAAUUAGCAUUUUUGUUACUAUGAGAUAAUAAAAUAUGAAUAGUACUGUACUCAUGACUUAUAUUUUUAAUUUUUUUAAAAAAUUUUCAAAUAAGAUGAACGAUUAAAAUUGGACGCGGAAAAUCAUGGCUGCACUUAUU